UAAAAACAGUGGCACUUUCUGAUAAUGGGUAUUUGUUGUACUUCUGGUGCCACCAUCCUGACCAAAGAAGCAGGUCCGGAGACGAUCUCAUCACAGAAGGAAUACCCUGGGUUUGACAUGGAACAGUGCCACCAGUGAAGAAGCGUGAAUGAGGUAGGUUAAUGAUUACCUCGGGCAAACGGAAACUGUGCGUUCGGCUCAUUUUACAAGCUAGGUGCCACUGCGAUGGAGAACACACUGGCGAAAAUGAAACUCUUAAGUCCUUAAUGCACAAGGCUGGAAGCUUCUCUACGGAUUUGCUUCAGAACAAUCCCAGACAGUGGGGAACGGGGAGCAGGUAGAAGAAGGCAUGUAACAAGACCGGCCGAGAUGAUAAGCUAUUGGAUGACCUAUCGACCAAGAGGUGCCUUAACUGACAGGCCCACAACUGGAUCGUCUACUCCUCUUCCACACACUUUGACCUCUUGCAUUUCUGUGGCUCUCCAGGAGGGGGCAGCAUCUUACCGGCUGAAUUUGAGUUGUACAGACCACUAGGAACUCAAAGCAACCUUGGGCAGCUUUUUGUUAAACAAUCCUUCGCUGCUUCAGAAGGUUUAUUCUGCAUAACCCUUUUUAUCCUCACCCUGUGGCUACCCUCCCAGAGCAGGUACACUCUGGCAGCCUCCUGCAGGAGGCCCAGGCCCGCUCUGAUGCUGACUCGGCUCUGCACCUGCAUAAGCUACAGGUGUUCUCCCCUCAGUAGACUCACACUCAUUUUUUUUUGCCUUUGACUCCUCAAUGCUUAGGACAGUGACAGGUACACAACUGGGACUCAAAAAGUUCACGGGAGAAAUGAAGGCGUGAAUAAAGGAGCAAAGCUAUAAAGAAUCCAUGUCAGCUCACCUGGGCACCAAUUCAGACAGUGGACCUCAGUCUAUUCCCCAACUAGUUUUUCUCAAAUGACACUUUCAGGGAAUCUCAU